GAUGAACGCUGGCGGCGUGCCUAAUACAUGCAAGUCGAGCGAACAGACGAGGAGCUUGCUCCUCUGACGUUAGCGGCGGACGGGUGAGUAACACGUGGAUAACCUACCUAUAAGACUGGGAUAACUUCGGGAAACCGGAGCUAGUACCGGAUAAUAUAUUGAACCGCAUGGUUCAAUAGUGAAAGACGGUUUUGCUGUCACUUAUAGAUGGUUCCGCGCCGCAUUAGCUAGUUGGUAAGGUAACGGCUUACCAAGGCAACGAUGCGUAGCCGACCUGAGAGGGGGAUCGGCCACACUGGAACUUGACCACGCUCCAGACUCCUACGGGAGGCAGCAGUAGGGAACCUUCCGCAAUGGGCGAAAGCCUGACGGAACAACGCCGCGUGAGUGAUGAAGGUCUUCGGAUCGUAAAACUCUGUUAUUAGGGAAGAACAAAUGUGUAAGUAACUAUGCACGUCUUGACGGUACCUAAUCAGAAAGCCACGGCUAACUACGUG
rnacentral:rRNA from 1 species